rnacentral:lncRNA from 1 species
GCCACGAAAUAAAGGCAUCAUUGGGGAGGAUUUGGGUGCUGAGCAGCAUCAAUAAGCGAGGCGGGGAGUGUGUGAGAUGAAGGCAAGAGCUGGUGGGCCAUGUGUGGGGGAAAGAAGUAAAGUUAAUUAAAAGUCUGAUAGAGCUCAGCUGUGAGGGGACUCGUGUCUUUUUGAGUUAGCUGACAAAAGAGCUCCUCACAGUGAAGAGGAGCUCCUUGUGACACAGCCCAGUGGAUGUACAGCUCCGUGUCAUCAGCCAGAGACACGGGCUGGUGUGCAUGUGUGUGAUUUAUUAAUCAUAAUCUGCCUGUAAGUGCUUUGGGGCAAUGGAGCUCAUAAAGUUUUACAAGCAUUUACGCAGCGCAUUUACACGGUGAAUGAAGAAGUGCCGUGGCUGCUAUUAAGAAUCAUUGUAUGAAAUUACUGCCUAAUCAAUAAUGAGCCUUCAGAGUAAAAUCUACUCAUUUAUGUUAUCAGACCUUCUGAUGCCCUGGCCGUGAUGAUGGACGGCUUCUAAGAAGCAUCAGGACCAGCCCAGUCCCUUCCUGCCCUCACCUCUGCGUGAAUCCCAAACAUCAGCGAGAGAAUACAGUUCUGUUACACAGGGCAUGUGGGAUAGGAGAGGUGAUGGCCAUAGCAUGGAUGGAGUGGAAGAGAUGGGAACAGGUAGGAUGCUG